rnacentral:rRNA from 1 species
UACAGAGGUGGCAAGCGUUGUUCGGAGUUACUGGGCGUAAAGCGUGCGUAGGCGGUGUCUUAAGUUUGUUGUGAAAUCUCCCGGCUUAACCGGGAGGGUGCGGCGAAUACUGAGAUGCUGGAGUGCGGGAGAGGUAAGCGGAAUUCCUGGUGUAGCGGUGAAAUGCGCAGAUAUCAGGAGGAACACCGGUGGCGAAGGCGCCACUCUGGGCCGGUACUGACGCUGAGGAGCGAAAGCGUGGGUAGCAAACAGG